rnacentral:rRNA from 1 species
UACGUAGGGUGCGAGCGUUGUCCGGAAUUAUUGGGCGUAAAGAGCUCGUAGGCGGCCUGUCGCGUCGGCUGUGAAAGCCCGGGGCUUAACCCCGGGUCUGCAUUCGAUACGGGCAGACUAGAGUGUGGUAGGGGAGAUCGGAAUUCCUGGUGUAGCGGUGAAAUGCGCAGAUAUCAGGAGGAACACCGGUGGCGAAGGCGGAUCUCUGGGCCAUUACUGACGCUGAGGAGCGAAAGCGUGGGGAGCGAACAGG